rnacentral:lncRNA from 1 species
GUGUUAAACUUAAUACACACAUUUCAAUGGGAUGUCGUUGGACUUGUACUUAUGACGGUUUCAUGAAACGCUGCCCAGAUCCCCGACACCGAACACCUGGGGAGGUUUCACGAAACCGUCAUUAAGUCUAACUUUUUAGACAUCGUAUUGAAACGUGUGAUAGAGAUCUAACACGUGUUUCUACCAAAUCUCCACGAGCUUAGACUUAUGGCAGUUUCGAGAAACUAGCACUCGCUCUGAAUCUGGCGCAUCCACGGCCACGCUGGAAGCUCGGAUCUGACCGCCUGCGAUGCAUGCCCCGGACGCGACGGCAGCCCGCUCUCGAGCUAACUCUCCAUCGCAUCGUGCAGCUGUCUUUCUUCUCUUUCACGAACACGGUUGCCCGACUGAAACAACUAGACCACAUUAGUAUCCUGACAUCAAGAUAGGUCUCUAUUAUGUGCCCAUCCGUCUGAUUAAGUCUUCUUUGGAGCAAACUGUCAGACAUUUGCGGUAGUAUACAGCUGAAAUGGAAUUUCCGUUCAACCAAACAGUAUACUUCAAGGCUAUUUCUCAGCGACGAGGGUUAGCUCCAGGUAGCAGUAGCAGGCUGGAAGUAACACACAUGUGCAGUGUUUCAGUCGAAAACGAAUACCACCCAUUCAAAAUCGGUUAUAGGAUCUUGUCCAUAUGUCCAUAUUUUUGUAUGCAUGUGAAACAUGGACCAUGACAGCAGACAUUAAAAGAAGGAUACAGGCACUGGAGAUGAAAUGUUUCCGCAAACUCCUCAGUAUCUGGUAUAGAGAUCACAUAACCAACGAGGUAGUGAAAAUCAGAAUUGGAAACACCAUAGGGCCGUAUGAAGACCUCCUGACUUCAGUGAAAAGAUGCAAAGUAAAGUGGUAUGGGUAUGUCACAUGAUCAUUUGGACUGGCCAAGACUAUUCUACAUGGAACAGUACAAGGAGGGAGACGAAAAGGCAGGCAGAGGAAACGAUGGGAAGACAACAUUAACGAGUGACCUUGACUGAAACAUCAUACUUCGUAAAGCCAAGAACCACGAGGAGUGGAGGAAGCUGGUAGUAUAAAUCUUCAGUGGUGCCCCAAGGGUCAGCCAGACUGUGGGAUAGGUGAAGGUGAAGGUGAAGGAAGCUAAGAAUCAGAUAGUUAGACAUUAUAUUGGAUCAUUUAUCCUUUCCUUCAAAAGGAAUGUUGCUUUAUACUGUAGCACAUAAACAAUGCUUUUUAAUUGGCAAUAUUUCAGUUCAGUACGCUUGUUAUUAAUUUCAUCAAACAUUAAAAUGUAAAAGGGAGAAACACUGUCAUUUGAAAAUCAAAAUGUAAGUCAUAAAAAUUUCACUGUCUAACUAUCUGAAUCUUGUCAGGAUCCAUGUACGAGUUAGUGCAAUUCUUUUCUCUUCACUACAACCGCAUUGAUUUACUUUAAUAGCAUGUUACUAGGUACAUCAAUUGAUGAGAAAAAGCAGCAAAACGCUUUAAAUUUGUUGUAGUCUUAAAAUUAAAGUUGGAAGUUUCCUAAAAAGGGAAUUUUAGAACACUCCUUCAACUGACAUGCACGGAUGUUAUACUUAUGAAUUUCCAUACAUUAAUGUCUUUGUAAUGCAUGUUACCAAACAAAAAAAAGUAUCAUCAACCAUUCUUGUCAUUUCCUGUGCAAUUAUUUUCACAUCCUGGCUUAACAGUACAUAAACAGUGCUCUUUUAUUUUCAAUAUUUCAGAAAAAUGCAUUUGCAUUAUGAUACAUGCAGGUAUAGUUGGUCAAGUAAGAAUAUAUUUACAGCAUGCUCACUAUGAAUUGAUUAAAUCGCCAUUGAAUCUAAAAGGUAUGUUAUACCUCAUUGUAUAUUCAGAAGGAAAAAGUGUGAGGAUAGCUUUAAAAAAAAAAAAAUCAUGAGUAUCCAUAAUGAUGUGAAUAUGUACAUGUUUGUUUGUUGCAUAUGAUUCUUCCUUGGUAUCAAAGCUGUAAUAAUUGCAUAUUUAUGAUUCAGCAUAAUACUUUGUUCAUUACAAAAAAAAUAUGUCAUAAUUUUCCAAAACGGUAGUGUAAAGAAUAAUGUAAGAUUGAGGUAAGAUUGUUACAUAUAUUCUCUAUACGUAUCAACUAAAAUGUAAGUUUUCAAAUGAGAUACUAUUUUGUCCCCAGAUGAAAUAAGUAAUGGAUCUUUUUUGUUAAAUGUCAGCAAAUGAUCUAAAUGAACAUGUGUUCGGGUAUAUCAAAUCUUGUACAUGUAGUUUCUAUAGCUAAUAUAGUUUGGAGGACUUAAAGAUAGAAAAACUGCUGAUUGAUUAAUUACCAUUGUUUGUAUUGUUCACUAUAACCAGCAAGUAAAGGGACAUUUAGUAGAUGCCAAGAAAGUAUUUCCAAAGCAAUUACAUUUCUCUUAUCCUGUAAUGUAUUUUUUGCGUCAAUAAAAGCAAAUGUGAGGGUUGUCCACAUAACAUCACAACUACAGAACAGUUUAAUUGAAAUUAACAUACAUAUUACAUGUAUAUAUGUGUAUUAUGGAAUAACUUAGAAUAUUUCAUAAUUUGUUAUUAUUAUCCAGUUCAUUACAUUUUUACCAAUGUAUUUCUUCAAUAUUUCUACUUUUCCUCAGAGCAUAUGCUGUGAACUAAUGGAUAUUCCUUGUCAGUUCCAUCAUGUUAUGUCAAUGGGCUUACACUGUAUGCGUGUACAUGUCCUUUUUGCAAUGUACAUGUGCUACGAAAAUGUCAACAAUAUUGUUUGAGAUAUAAAAUAUAGAGUUAACAAGUGAAUUAUUCA